UUUGGGUCCACCCUCCUUUUAGAUGCAGACAGCCCCAGAGUUUGAUCCUGGCUCAGGCUGGAUCACCUCCUUCUAGACUGCAGAAAGCUCCAGAGUUUGAUCCUGGCUAAUACUGGGGCAUAGCCCGGAGAAAUGCAGGAUUGACCCCCCAUGGUAUGUAAAAGUGGCAUCACUUUUACAUUAAAAUUACGGUGGUAAUAGAUGAUUUUGCGUCCCAUUAGUUAGUUGGUAAGGUAACGGCUUACCAAGGCAGCGAUGGGUAGGGGUCCUGAGAGGGAGAUCCCCCACACUGGUACUGAGACACGGACCAGACUCCUACGGGAGGCAGCAGUGAGGAAUAUUGGACAAUGGAGGCAACUCUGAUCCAGCCAUGCCGCGUGCAGGAAGACUGCCCUAUGGGUUGUAAACUGCUUUUACAGAGGAAGAACCGCACCCACGUGUGGGUGUUUGACGGUACUCUGCGAAUAAGGAUCGGCUAACUCCGUGCCAGCAGCCGCGGUAAUACGGAGGAUCCAAGCGUUAUCCGGAAUCAUUGGGUUAAAGGGUCCGAGGCGGGACAAUAAGUCAGUGGUGAAAGUCUGCAGCUAACUGUAGACUGCAUUGAAACUGUAGUCCUGAGUAUUAU
rnacentral:rRNA from 1 species